GUCGAACGAGAAAGGAGAUUUCGGUCUCCGAGUAAAGUGGCGGACGGGUGCGUAACACGUAAGUAAUUAACCCCAAGUAUCAGGAUAACUUCUCGAAAGGGGAGCUAAAACUGAAUAUAUCCUUGAUGCACAAGUUUCAAGGAAAAAAUAGGCUUCUACUUAAGCCUACGACUUGGGACAAGCUUGCGGCUCAUUAGCUAGUUGGUAGGGUAAUGGCCUACCAAGGCUACGAUGGGUAGCUGGUCUGAGAGGAUGAUCAGCCACACUGGCACUGAGAUACGGGCCAGACUCCUACGGGAGGCAGCAGUGGGGAAUUUUGCGCAGUGGGCGAAAGCCUGACGCAGUAACGCCGCGUGGAGGAUGAAGGCCUUCGGGUUGUAAACUCCUGUCAGAGGGAACGAAAGCUCUUAACAUAACAUGGUUAUUUGCUUGACGGUACCCUCAAAGGAAGCCCCGGCUAAUUCCGUGCCAGCAGCCGCGGUAAUACGGAAGGGGCAAGCGUUGUUCGGAAUCAUUGGGCGUAAAGGGCGCGUAGGCGGUCUUGUGUGUCUGCUGUAAAAGCACACGGCUCAACCGUGUAGGGUCGGUAGAAACUGCGAGACUUGAGGCUGGGAGAGGUUGGUGGAAUUCCCUGUGUAGCGGUGAAAUGCGUA
rnacentral:rRNA from 1 species